rnacentral:rRNA from 1 species
GACGAACGCUGGCGGCGUGCCUAAUACAUGCAAGUCGAGCGAACGGAUGAGGAGCUUGCUCCUCUGAAGUUAGCGGCGGACGGGUGAGUAACACGUAGGCAACCUGCCUCAUAGACUGGGACAACUUCGGGAAACCGGAGCUAAUACCGGAUAACACUUUUCUUCGCAUGAAGGAAAAUUAAAAGUUGGCGCAAGCUAAACACUAUGAGAUGGGGCCCUGCGGCGCAUUAGCUAGUUGGUAAGGUAACGGCUUACCAAGGCGACGAUGCGUAGCCGACCUGAGAGGGUGAUCGGCCACACUGGGACUGAGACACGGCCCAGACUCCUACGGGAGCAG